rfam:Candidatus Doudnabacteria bacterium RIFCSPHIGHO2_01_FTLL_41_86 rifcsphigho2_01_scaffold_2273, whole genome shotgun sequence.
UUAUGGAAAAUUUAAAAGUUUUGAGAAGUCAGCUGCGUCAUAGUAAGCUUGGUUUAAAAUCAAGCCGAAGGAC